AUCUUGGAUCCCUGAACCUGUCCUUUUGGCCAGGUCUCAGUCUACCUUCAUACCUUCACAUCUGGAGCUGCCUUGGUGAGACAGAGGCCAUACCUGGUCAAAGGUCUCUGCAUUUCUCCUCUUUACACAGAGAGAAACAAUUGUAAACAAGCUUUUGGGACACAGGGUAUCCAGUCUACAGGAGAAGCAUGUGGGAAGACCCUCCCUACAAGAACAAGCAGUGUGACAAUGACUAUAGCACGGAGAAUCACCCAAAUGCGCAUGGCACUGGAGAGGGGGA